AGUCGUGGUCUAAAUUACUGUUUAUUUCACUUUAACUUACUGGAAACGCCCGUUUAUGUCACGGAUCGACAUUUUGACAAGUCGCGAAAAUAGAUGACAGAAAAUGCCGGUCUACACCGGAAGUGACCUUACGGCGUUCUUUUAUUUAAACGUGUUCAGUGAUUCGUUCUUGUCAACAAAUAUUGUGGUCUGCAGAGAUUACUAUACGCUGUUCUACUGGGGGAAAAGUGACAAACAAACAGGGUGAUGAAUGUCCCCCAUAUGGCAAAAUUCAACUUGAGUGGGCAUCCACAACCAAAUGCUGGAAAAAGCUUCAAACAGACUGCAGUGUAUUCUGUCUUCAAGAGCACAUGUGAACAGUUUACCUCAUACCAGAAAGGACCCAGAGACAGUGCAUGGUGUUCAAUAUUCUCAAAUAUGC